rnacentral:rRNA from 1 species
AAGUUGUUGCAGUUAAAAAGCUCGUAGUUGGACUUUGAGCCUGGUCGGCCGGUCCGCCUCACGGCGAGCACCGACCUACUCAACCCUUCUGCUGGCGAUGCGCUCCUAGCCUUAACUGGCCGGGUCGUGCCUCCGGCACCGUUACUUUGAAGAAAUUAGAGUGCUCAAAGCAAGCCAUCGCUCUGGAUACAUUAGCACGGGAUAACAUCAUAGGAUUCCGGUCCUAUUGUGUUGGCCUUCGGGAUCGGAGCAAUGAUUAAUAGGGACAGUCGGGGGCAUUCGUAUUUCAGUCAGAGGUGAAAGUCUUGGAUUUAUGAAAGACUAACAACUACGAAAGCAUUUGCCAAGGAUGUUUUCAUUAAUCAAGAACGAAAGUUGGGGGCUCGAAGACGAUCAGAUACCGUCCUAGUCUCAACCAUAAACGAUGCCGACCAGGGAUCGGCGGAUGUUUCUUAUAGGACUCCGUCGGCACCUUAUGAGAAAUCAAAGUCUUUGGGUUCCG